GGCGCUAUAGCCAAGUGGUUACGGCGACAGAUUAGAAUAAUUAUUAUGAAGAUCUGUUCCUCUUUGAGGGCGCAGGUUCAAAUCCUGCUGGCGUCG
rfam:Lentinula edodes NBRC 111202 DNA, contig: scaffold92.